GUUGAACGCUGGCGGCAGGCCUAACACAUGCAAGUCGAGCGGAUGAAGGGAGCUUGCUCCUGGAUUCAGCGGCGGACGGGUGAGUAAUGCCUAGGAAUCUGCCUGGUAGUGGGGGAUAACGUCCGGAAACGGGCGCUAAUACCGCAUACGUCCUGAGGGAGAAAGUGGGGGAUCUUCGGACCUCACGCUAUCAGAUGAGCCUAGGUCGGAUUAGCUAGUUGGUGGGGUAAAGGCCUACCAAGGCGACGAUCCGAAACUGGUCUGAGAGGAUGAUCAGUCACACUGGAACUGAGACACGGUCCAGACUCCUACGGGAGGCAGCAGUGGGGAAUAUUGGACAAUGGGCGAAAGCCUGAUCCAGCCAUGCCGCGUGUGUGAAGAAGGUCUUCGGAUUGUAAAGCACUUUAAGUUGGGAGGAAGGGCAGUAAGUUAAUACCUUGCUGUUUUGACGUUACCAACAGAAUAAGCACCGGCUAACUUCGUG
rnacentral:rRNA from 1 species